CGGGGAGUGGCUCAGCUUGGCUAGAGCGUGUCGUUCGGGACGACAAGGCCGGCGGUUCAAAUCCGCCCUCCCCGACUA
rnacentral:tRNA from 2 species